rnacentral:rRNA from 1 species
UACGUAGGUGGCGAGCGUUGUCCGGAUUUACUGGGCGUAAAGGGAGCGUAGGCGGACUUUUAAGUGAGAUGUGAAAUACCCGGGCUCAACUUGGGUGCUGCAUUUCAAACUGGAAGUCUAGAGUGCAGGAGAGGAGAAUGGAAUUCCUAGUGUAGCGGUGAAAUGCGUAGAGAUUAGGAAGAACACCAGUGGCGAAGGCGAUUCUCUGGACUGUAACUGACGCUGAAGGCUCGAAAGCGUGGGGAGGCAAACAGGAUUAGAUACCCGGUA